CUUUACUGUGAUUGGUGGGGAGAGAGAUAUAUUCGAGGUCGAAAGUUCAUUUUGAUUUUAAACUAAACAAAAAUUAACCGUCUAAGAAAGUUUAGAGAGGUUCAGUCAGUUGGAGUUGCUGGACGUGAAAAUUUAAGACAAGUGAGUCAUCCGGCAUUGAGACAAUAGAAUUUCAGAAUUACUUCGAAAAUUAAAAAAAUUUAUAAUGACUUCUACUAGUUUCAAUGUUGGUUUAAUCGAAAAAAAAAAUUCCAGCAGAGUUCUCAAGCCGCCAGGUGGUGGACAUACCGACAUUUUCGGCAUUAAUUCUCAUACCGAAAUUGUUACUCCUAGCAAGAAACGAAACAUUCCCCCAACUACUAUUACAAGCUGUUUCACUGAAGAAGUUGACUCUAAGGAAAAAUACCAACCAAAUAAUAAUCUAGAAAAAGCAGAAAAUGGUGAACAAAAUGGAAAUGGAAAUAUUGUUGAUGAAAAUACCGAACCUGCUCAUGAUAAUAAAGAAGAUGAAAAGAAAAAUGGACAAGAAGCUCCUAAAAAAACUAGGGUACCUCCAGGAGGUUUCUCAUCUAUUCUCUGGUAAUUUUUUAAAUUUAUACAGUGUGAUCAAAAUUUUAUCUUUAUAUUUAAACGAGUUUUAGUUUAAACAAAAAACUUCCAAGUGCAGUUAGUAAGUACUCAGUCUUUCUAUGAAAGUAUAAAGAGUGCCACAAAUAAUCAAUAUUUUGUCUUCACUGAUAAGCUGUAUUAAGUUUCAAUUUAUAAAAGCAAUUAUCCAGAAUGUUCAAACCUGGAAAAUGCAAAAAUACAGAUUAGGAUUUAAAUAUCUGAAGUAGAUUAAAUAAUUAUGUGAAAUCGUUAUGUAUUUAUGCACUUUGAUAUUAAUUUUUGUUACUCUUAAAUAACUUAAAUGGCAGAUGUCCAAACUUUUUCUCAUUCAAUUUUCUUUAUAUUAUUUUUCAAUCAGAUUUAUAUAAUUAUAUAUUUGUCGCAUGCUUUCCCUAAUGGAUGGAAUCUUAAAUUUGUUAUUCUAUAAAAAGGCUGAUAAUUUUUUAAUAAAUUAUGAAUUUAAAUAAA